GUUGGGUGUGGUGGCACUCACCUGUAAUCUCAGCUGCUCGGGAGGCUGAGGCAGGAGGAUCCCAAGUUGGAGACCAGUCUGGGUCACAGUGACAUCCUGCCUCAA
rnacentral:sRNA from 1 species